GUGGCAGCCGCCGCGGUAAUACGUAGGGUGCAAGCGUUAAUCGGAAUUACUGGGCGUAAAGCGUGCGCAGGCGGUUUUGUAAGACAGAUGUGAAAUCCCCGGGCUUAACCUGGGAACUGCGUUUGUGACUGCAAGGCUAGAGUACGGCAGAGGGGGGUGGAAUUCCACGUGUACCAGUGAAAUGCGUAGAUAUUAGGAGGAACACCAGUGGCGAAGGCGGCUUCCUGGCAUACAACUGACGCUGAGGCGCGAAAGCGUGGGGAGCAAACGGGAUUAGAUACCCCGGUAGUCCACGCCGUAA
rnacentral:rRNA from 1 species